CCUACGGGAGGCAGCAGUGAGGAAUAUUGGUCAAUGGGCGGAAGCCUGAACCAGCCAAGUCGCGUGAGGGAUUAAGGCCCUGCGGGUCGUAAACCUCUUUUGCCGGGGAGCAGUGGUCCGGACGCGUCCGGACAGGGAGAGUACCCGGAGAAAAAGCAUCGGCUAACUCCUGGCCAGCAGCCGCGGUAUAACGGAGGAUGGGAGCGUUAGCCGGAUUUAUUGGGUUUAAAGGGUGCGUAGGCGGGCAUUUAAGCCGGCGGUAAAAUGUCGGGGCUCAACCCCGGCCUGCCGUCGGAACUGGGUGCCUUGAGUGGGCGAGAAGUAUGCGGAAUGCGUGGUGUAGCGGUGAAAUGCAUAGAUAUCACGCAGAACCCCGAUUGCGAAGGCAGCAUACCGGCGCCCUACUGACGCUGAGGCACGAAAGUGCGGGUAUCGAACAGGAUUAGAUACCCGAGUAGUC
rnacentral:rRNA from 1 species